GAUGAACGCUGGCGGCGUGCCUAAUACAUGCAAGUCGAGCGAACAGACGAGGAGCUUGCUCCUUUGACGUUAGCGGCGGACGGGUGAGUAACACGUGGGUAACCUACCUAUAAGACUGGGAUAACUUCGGGAAACCGGAGCUACUACCGGAUAAUAUUUCGAACCGCAUGGUUCGAUAGUGAAAGAUGGCUCUGCCAUCACUUAUAGAUGGACCUGCGCCGUAUUAGCUAGUUGGUAAGGUAACGGCUUACCAAGGCAACGAUACGUAGCCGACCUGAGAGGGUGAUCGGCCACACUGGAACUGAGACACGGUCCAGACUCCUACGGGAGGCAGCAGUAGGGAAUCUUCCGCAAAGGGCGAAAGCCUGACGGAGCAACGCCGCGUGAGUGAUGAAGGUCUUCGGAUCGUAAAACUCUGUUAUUAGGGAAGAACAAACGUGUAAGUAACUGUGCACGUCUUGACGGUACCUAAUCAGAAAGCCACGGCUAACUACGUG
rnacentral:rRNA from 1 species